GAUCCCAAGCUAUAUGUGACAUCUUCACUCAAGCAGUGAAAUUAUGUGACACUGACGUGAGGAUGGAUUCUCUUCCCCAUGCUGUUGAACGUCUUGGCCAUCCUCCCUCUUAAGCAAAAGCAUACACACUAUCCAAAACAGCUUCAGUAAAAAAUUUUGUCUCAAAUAAAGGUGAUAAAAUUUAACAGA